AUUUGACGGUCUUUUUCUUUUCUUUUUUUUCUGCAGUGGUCCAGAGGAGAUGGGCAUGCUGUAUGGGGGACUGAAACUGGGCAAGGACUUGCGAGAGAUCUGUAUGAGCAUUCUCCUUUACCGCGGGAUGAACUGCGAGGAUGUGACUACACCGCUCGCUCUUGGCAAAGUCAAGGCUGGAAACCAGUAGAGUUACUUAUUUUCAUGAAGAAGCUAUCAUCUGUUGAAUAUUUCGCUUCUUCCAAAAGAUUUCUUAUCGAAAGAAAUCUUGCAUAAUCGUAUAUGCUGCCCACAGCAUACGACUCUUCUAUGGAUAAA